rnacentral:rRNA from 1 species
ACAGGUACUGACACUCAAAUACGAAAGCGUGGGGAGCAAACAGGAUUAGAUACCCUGAUAGUCCACGCUGUAAACGAUGGGUACCAGGUUUGGUGGGUCUUGACCCCCGCCGAACCGGCGCUAACGCAAUAAGUACCCCGCCUGGGAAGUACGGUCGCAAGACUAAAACUCAAAGGAAUUGACGGGGGCCCGCACAAGCGGUGGAUCAUGUGGUUUAAUUCGAAGCAACGCGAAGAACCUUACCUGGAUUUGACAUCCCUUGACAACCUUAGAGAUAGGGCUUCUGUAGCAAUACAGCAAGGAGACAGGUGCUGCAUGGCUGUCGUCAGCUCGUGUGGUGACAUGUUGGGUUAAGUCCCGCAACGAGCGCAACCCUUGUCUUUAGUUGCCAGCAUUAAGUUGGGCACUCUAAAGAGACUGCCGUGGUUAACACGGAGGAAGGUGGGGAUGACGUCAAGUCCUCAUGGCCUUUAUAUCCAGGGCGACACACGUGAUACAAUGGACGGUACAAAGGGACGCCAAGAGGCAACUCGGAGCUAAUCUCAAAAAGCCGUUCUCAGUUCGGAUUGGAGUCUGCAACUCGACUCCAUGAAGUUGGAAUCGCUAGUAAUCGCGGAUCAGCACGCCGCGGUGAAUACGUUCCCGGGCCU